CGUAAGGCGCCGAACGAGUCAUUAAAAAAUUAACAUCGUCCGAUCCCUAGUCGGCAUAGUUUAUGGUUAAGACUACGACGGUAUCUGAUCGUCUUCGAUCCCCUAACUUUCGUUCUUGAUUAAUGAAAACAUCCUUGGCAAAUGCUUUCGCAGAAGUUAGUCUUCAAUAAAAUCCAAGAAUUUCACCUCUGACAAUUGAAUACUAAUGCCCCCAACUAUCCCUAUUAAUCAUUACGGUGAUCCUAGAAACCAACAAAAUAGAACCAUGCCGUCCUAUUUAUUAUUCCAUGCUAAUGUAUUCA
rnacentral:rRNA from 1 species